rnacentral:ncRNA from 1 species
CUCAUCGAGACCGGCUGAGGGAAAGGCCCUUUGACGCCGGGGCAACCAGCGGACCUAACCCGUCCGAAAAGGUGCCAACUCCUGCGGUGGCUGCCGGCUGCCGAAUGAUGAGG